rnacentral:lncRNA from 1 species
CAUCCACACCAAAUAAUAUAAUCCGUUGCUUGACAGAAGCUUAUUUGAAUCUGAUGAUCAUUGACCAUCAUCACCGGCCUUCCUCGAUGAGGGAGCUCAGGUACGACGAUGUCGAUGCCGACAUGCCGACCACCUCCCUCUUGCUCGAGCUCGCCUGCCACUCGGUGACGUAGCUGGGCUUCGUGACUGCCUCUGGCACUUCGAUGUCUUCUGUGAGCAUGGACACCACCUUUGACAUGGAUGGCCGCUGCCGAGGUGAGCUCUGGAUGCAGAGGAGGCCGACGCGGAUGGCACGGAGAACCUCGUCGCUGACGAAUUCCAUGAGACUCGGGUCCACGACGUCGAGAGGACGGCCUUCCUCGUACAAUUGCCAGACCUGAAAGCGUAGGGCUCAUGCAUGUAGGAGAACUUCACUGUUGUAGGAAUGCAACAAACUAUUUUUUUUCAUAUGAUUCCAAAUUCUAAGAUCCACAUAAUGCUGCCAUUUUAAAAUUUAACACGCUGUGUCAGCUGCUUAGAUGCUAACAAGGUCUUAUAAGUGACACCAUAUGCAUGACUAGCAAUUUCUACGAAAAAUGUAUUUGUCUCAAAUAAAUAGCAUUUUUAUGUUGAAUUUAGUAUAUGAACAACUUUUAAAUUUUUAUGUUGUUAAUCUAAAUAAUUCUUCAUGUAGUGCUGCGCAAAGCUAAAACUGCUGCACAUUUUAGAAGAGGGACACUGGAGCAUAGAUCUUUAGAUCAAUAACUUAUAUUCUGUGUCCGAGGGAGUAACAAAACUUUCCCUCUUCUAAACAAGUGCCUAUCAACAACUAGCAUUCUGUACAUAGCUUAUUUAUUUGACUGCAUCUCUUUUUAUAUAAUUCAAUGAUGUCAAAAUUAUGGUUAAGUUUUUGAAUAAAAAAUCUUAUGAACGCACAUGAGCUUUAAUUUUUAUGUUAUAUAAGUGCCUAUCAUAUAUAUAUAUAUUCCCAGUUACCACAUGAAAAACUGCAAUUUGACCUGGGUCUAAAUUUUGUAGUGACUUUACCCAUUCUAAAAGAUAGGCGCUGUCUUCGUCAAGCCUAUCAUCAUAGUUUGGCCUUCCAGCUAUUGUUUCCAAUAUGACCACGCCAAAAGCAAAUACAUCAACUUUCUCCGUUACAUGACCUCUCAUGGCGUACUCAGGUGCUAGAUAACCACUUGAAAGAAGAGCAGAAAAAUAAUGUUAUUAGCUCACAGAUUAAUCAAACUAAAGUAUAAACUUUCUGCAAUUGUAUAAAGGUGCACUCCAGUGUGCAAGAUAACCUCUCAUUCCCUACUUACUAUAAAUGGGGCAAGAUGCAAAUGCGCUUACAAUGUACCGGCAACUUUUGUGCUGACAUGCGUCUUCUUGUCAUCAUAAAGUUUAGCGAGUCCAAAAUCUGAGAUCUUAGGGUUGAAAUUGGUGUCAAGUAAGAUAUUACUGGCCUUUAUAUCCCUAUGCACAACACGGAUGCUAGACUCUUCGUGCAAAUAAGCUAGACCUCUUGUAAUGCCUAAGCAUAUCCCAAAGCGUGUAAGCCAGUCUAGGUUCUUUCUCCCACUUCCUGCAAAUGAAUGUUUAAGUUAUACGAUGAACUCCUGGAGGGCCGGAGUUAUAUACAGUUGCAUCAAAUUGAAUGAACCUGUACCAAACAAUGCUUUAUCAAGACUUCCAUUCUCUAAGUACUCGUAAACCAGCAGUGGAUUUUCGCCCUCAAGGCAGCAACCAUACAACUUCACGAGAUUCCGAUGUUGCACUUGGGAAAUAGUUUCUAUUUCAGCUAUGAAUUGCUUCUUCCCUUGACGAGAUGUUUCAGAUAGCUGCUUUACUGCUACCAUGCUUCCAUCGGUCAGUUUACCCUGCGAAAAUGUGGCAUUUUUUAAGAAUGUAAGUUUCAGACACCUCAUUAUCACGCAUAUAAUGGACAAAAUAAAGAGACUGCCAAGCUAGCCAUGUGGGGCAACUAUAAAAGGAACUAGUAGAGAGCAACAAAAGGGAAAACCAAUGGGGAAUGUGUGUGUAGAUUGAUAUUACUAAAAGAAUAGGUGAAGCAUUGCCCAGAAGUAGAGGUUUAUUAGUCAAUUUGCAUACAGAAAAAGAGCUCUGGUGUGCACUACUUAUGUACGUGGAAACUUAAUUUCAGAGGCAAAUUAAAAUUCCAUAGCAAAUUUGCAUCCAUGUCACCAUGUGUAGUACAGAUGAACUAACCUUAUAAACUGCCCCGUAUCCUCCUUCACCAAGAAGGUUAGUGGAAUUAAAAUUUUCACUAGCGGUCCUUAGUUCACCAUAACUGUAACUAAAUACAUUUGGUCUUCCAACACAACUGUACAGCUCUGCAAGAAUCACAAGAGUUAAGUUUAUGAGCACAACCUCUUUGUCUGGUUUAAGAAUACACUGUGAACCUGUCAUAUCAUGUACCUCGUUUGUCCAAUGACAAUUUUCUUCUUUUCUGCCUCAACACAUAGAGUCCAGAGAGCACUAAUAGUCCUAAAACUGCUGCACCAACCCCAACCCCAACAGCGACACCUGUAUUGCUAGUACGUUUCGUCUGGGCAGCAUGGGCAGCAUUACGCACUGUAGGUUCGAAAUCUGUCCAAAAGUCCACUUGUUAGAACAAAUGCAAUCUUGGAUUUGGAUCCUAUGUUAAGUGUUUAUGAAUUUUCACUUUUUAAAAGUACUUGAGAAUUCAGCACCGGUUCAGAGUGGAUCUGUAAUUCUGUAUCACUAUUAUACAUGUCAGAGUGUUGGUUCAGUCAUCAGCAUUCUCCUAAUGGGAACUAAGUUGACCCCGCGAAAAUUAUCUAAACAGUAUAGAAACGUUGGUUUAUAGACAACGGGAGUACUUGGAGUUGCACUCAAAGCAGAGAGCGAAGGCCCAUAGUAGCCUUGACUAGGGAUGCAACAAGUGCCCUUGCCGGCCCAGAAAAGAUGAAUCUCAAGGAAGUUUCUGGUGACAGGAACAGUAUACUUCCUCGUGACAGCAGUGUAAGAUUUUCCGGCUGCUGCCUUUCUUAUGUCAAAGUUCUGCUCUUUACGCUCACCCUGUACCAAAAGCAAGAAAAAAAACAUUAGAAAAUCUCAAUCAGCCCAUAAGCUAAAAUCUCAAGUAAGUGUAAGUUAUCAGCAUGACUGGAACCUACCUGAAUAUAGAUAUCGAAAACCCUUUUACCUAAACUCUUCCAAGUCUGCAUGUCUUCGAAGUCAAACUCUGCAAAUUGAAGUGUGACUGUAUAAUUUCCAUUCUCAAGUCCAAUGCCAUAGUAGCGUAAUGAUGAUGGAGACAUCCUUGCUGUCUGGAACAGUUCUGAAUCUAGAGUUUUCAGAAACUGGCGUGAGCUGUUGAUUAUGUAACUAUUAUUUGGUGCCUCCAUGAACCUCCCAACAUUGCUAACACCCCACGUUGGUGCUCCUGUAACAUAAUAGGAAGCAGGUCCCAGAUCGGCGUUGUCAGGCUGAUACAUGGAAUUAUCUGAGACUGACAUAGAUCUCUGGCUCCCACAGUCCACAGCAAAGGAGGAAGCUGCAAGCAUGUUAAAUUAUUUAAUACUGAUGUUAUUUAGCAUAUCCUUAAAGUGCAAAAGUGGAAGCUCACAUUGUGGAGAGCCAAGAAAGCAGGGUGUGUCUCGCUGAAGGCACCCUAGCCCCGAAGGUAAGGCACUGAAGAUGUCAAACAUUGUCAAUUUGAAUCCAAAAUAUGAGCUGAGGCCUGAGAGAACAUAAAAAUUGUGCUUGAAGACUUUAAUGACCUAUUUGAAUACAAACUGACCUGUUAUUGGAGUCGUCGAUUACGAAAUUGUUCGCCACCAAAUUCCUAUGUAGAAUGAAACAUGUAAAAAAGAGUUAGAAGGCACUAUUGCAGAGAAUCAAGAGAAACCAAAGCAGGGACAAAAUUGAUUCAGUUUUUUAAGAUAAGCGAUAAGGUAAAGUACACAUCUGCUUGUUCAAAGAUUCUGAAUCAUAGAUGACGUCAAAUGCAAAAAGAAAAGAAAAAAAGAAAAAAUAAAUAUGGUCUAGGUGCAGCAAAAGCAGCCUUUUAGAUGUAGUUGAUAUUAAAAAAUGCUAGUUUAAUACAUGUGUAUGAUAUUGGAUUAUCUUUAAAAUAAUAGUAAUAGGGCUGAAUUUUCGGUCAGUCAAUCAAGCUUGCAAAACUCAGCACUUACAAUGUCAAAUUCGGACUAACCCAGGAGGGAAAGUUUCCUGAUAGCUGGUUGUAGGAAAAGUCUCUACACAAAACAAAGCGUGUAAAUGUUAUAGAUAAACGCCUUCCUGGUUUUACUUCACAAAUGAAAGUGGACAAACAUACAAGUUUUUAAGAGAAGUUCCUAUAGAACUUGGAAGGCUUCAUGAAAGACUAUUAUUCCCGAGAAACCUGGGCAGACCAAAUUUGCGCAUUAGCAAGAUUGAUGAUCAUUGUCAUCAGAACCUAGAAAUAAGUAUCAGAAGGCAAGAUAAACCAUACAAGAAGCUGAGUGAAUUCAGAUUCAGCAGAGCUUGCGGUACUAGGCCAGUAAUAUUGUUAAAACUCAAAUCCCUGUAACAGUAGAACAAAUGAGACUAGGAGAGAAAGGGGUCAUCAAACAAUGCAUAAUCCACAGCAGUUCAUUAAAGCAUCUAGCAAAACAUGCAGUUGACUGGAGUUUACGAAGAAACAAAAUGUCUUACAGUAGGGUUAAUGUUGCAAACUGUGAAAAGUUUACUGAUGCCAGGUUAUCAGAUAUCCUGCAGUUCCUCAAAACUCUGCAAUGAAACAUGUCAAGAGUUUUCGGAUUUAACAAUUUGGUUGCACUACAGCAAAUAUUAAGAUGUAGUUUUGAGUCAUCAAGUGAAUGACAAGUUAUGCAUACAAGAUGUUCAAAGAUGUCAUGUUACUGAUGAAUGCCAGUGAAGAACUCCCAUUUACUAUGUCACCUAUUCGUCUGAACCACAGAAGUAGAUAAUUAAUUCUUCUGUUCUGCAACCUUAAUACUUGACAAUGAUACUUAUCUACUCCCGCCAUCAGUAGUCACUUACAAGCUUGUCAGUUGGACAAGAUUAGAAAGAGUGGUUGGAAGUGGACCUUGAAAUGAAUUGCCUUGAAACCGUCUGCAAAAUUAUAGUUGUUGUUACUAGUGAAGAAAGAAGGAAGAUCCUGCUAGUACAAGGGUCACUUUCUUGGUAAAAAAAGUAAAUAGGUUUAUGCAGAUAGAAAUAUGAUCUGUUCCAUAAAAAAGAUAAUUAUUAGAAAAAUCAAUUCAAUAUUUUUAACACUAGUAUUUUUUAAUGGAACAGGAGGGGUUAGGACCCCUACUGGUUAUAUAUUCAGGAAAAAGGAGUCUUUUACAGAGCAAAAAGGAGAAAAAGGAAAAUCACAACAGAUUGUCAAGCCAUUCUGUGAUUCUAGGGAAAGACUUCUUUUUUCUCGAUGGAUAACCAUAGCAAAUUCAUACUUGAAAAUGUUUCUGCAACUCUCAACUGAAACUUGCUGUUGUUUGGAGAUUGCAUUGUUCCUUGUUGUCCAGAAUAUGUGGAACAGAACCGCAUUAUCAUGAAUAGUGAAAAAAUGUAAUAUUUACUAAAAUGAUGAAACCACCUCACAUCUGACCUUAUGUGGAUUAUUUUAAUAGGCCACUGAAUGGAGAUUUAGCAGAGUAAAAACUAUACUUAGCUAAUACCAUCUCAUUUAUGAGCACAAUGAGCCAGGGUUCAAAAUGAAUUUCAUACUUGAGAACUGUUGCAAACUGUACACAAUGUCUUUAAAGAAAUUAUCAACACCAUCUGAAAAGUAUAAGUUGUAAAUCUUACAGAUCUAAUAAAUUACUGAGGCUCCCAAUGUAAUCUGGUAUUUGCCCAGUAAAAUCAUUAUCUGAUGCCCACCUAAUCACAAAUAAGAAUAACGCAUAAGGUUAAAUGAAUAAUACUGUUGACAAAACAUCUUUUAUAGGCAUACAAUAUUUUCAUGCUUGUAAGCUUAGAAAAUGAUGGUGGUAGUGGACCACUUAAGCCAGAGCUGUCAAUAUAUCUGCAAGACAGAAAUAAACGAAUAAGAAUGUUAACAUGGUUUGGUAGAAGAAAAGGUAAGGACUACAGGGUGCCCAAAAUUAAUCAAAAUACGCACAGUUGCUCAAGUUUAACCAUGUUACCCAGUUCGGGAGGAAGGGAUCCAUUUAAGUUGUUCAUGCUUAUGCCCCUGAAAUCCCAAAAAAAAUGUCAGGUUAGUAGCAAAAGAUUUGUGACAGGAAACUUUCUUACCUUUCGAAGGAUGAAUACUUUUCCCGACAGAGGUCAACUAGUAGAAGGAAUGAAGGUGUGUUUUUUCUAUAAGCUUGAUGUCGAUAGCAUGUAUUCUCAACUUAAACUGUUCUUUAUUUGUUGAUUCUUACACAUUUAAAUAAAUUUAUAGGUACGUGUACAAAGCCAGGUCGAGAUUUAUAAAACUUUGUAGUUUGGACAUUAGCAAAGAUUUCUACUGAAAUAGGGCCAUGAAACAGAGAAGGUAAAUUACUUACAGGGAUACGAGAUUCACAAGCUUCCCAAGCUCCUUUGGAACAGAUCCAGAUAAUGCAUUAAUUGCAAGAUUCCUUGUAUGUUCAAGGGAGAUAGUUUAAGUUUCAAUGUUACCCAAAACAUGCGAUGUAGUAAUGUUAGGUUCUAAAUCUCACAAGUAUUGCAAAGCAGUCAGUUCCCCAAGGAACGAUGGUAUAGGCCCUGUUAAGUAAUUCCGCAUUAAGUUCCUAAAAAAACGUCAGAUCAGAUCAGAUGUAAACGAAAAAGGAUGGCUCUCAGUAGGUAUUAUAUUUAAAGAAAUUUUGAGCUUGAUGUGGGAGGCUACUACAAAGCAAUCCGCUGCUAUGAUAAUAUGAUAUGCCGUGGAACUGCGGGAAAUGACAAAGUCCACCAAUAAGUUGCGACUAAACAAUCUUAAUAUACACUUGGGAUACUUUGGCUCACUGACGAUUUCAAGAACGUUGAGAAUUCAUACAAAUUGGUCAAGUGCGUGAGGUUCCUCAGCUCUUCUGGUAUAGGACCUACCAGAUCCAAUGCGUACAUUUUCCUGCAGCAAUAACAGUGAAGCACCCAUCAGCUCGCACCAUCUCAAUUUAGCCUUCAUGGAUGUUUUUUUUUUGAAAUAAACCUUCAUGGAUGUUCGUCGUCAGACAAACACCACCAGGUUAUGGAGCGCCGUCAAAUAACCGCACAAGCAAUAGUUGCAGAGAUAAGGACGAUGCACUAGCCUGCCACACUCUGAGUGCACGAACUGCCACCUCAGGUGGGCAAAUUAGAUCAUCCAGCAACUGAUGGUGGGCGUACGGAUAGGUAGCGUGAGACACUUACAGCCUGGUGAUGUGGCAGACGGUGUUGUUCUGGUACGUGCAGUCGCAUUUGAUUCCCGGGUUCAAUUUUGGGCGAUUGUCGACGUCGGUGUCGUCCGUGGCCGCGCCGGCGCAAGGGUCGACGCCGCUGAACCAAGAUGGCCACAGUCUGCUCCCGAGUUUGUCAAACACCCCCUUCAGCGCAUCCGCUGCGAAUGAGACACAAACACGAAAACGCGAUCAAACAUCCUGCCCCUCGGCAGUCCGAGAAAAUUUUGCAAUAUGCUCCUAUGGUUUAAGAUAUUUAGACCCUGACUAUAACUUUUUGCAGGCCGAGAGCUUGCAUUGUGUGGCCGAGGGGGAUUGAUUUGUUUAGUAUUCAUGUGCUCUAAUGGUCGAGAGUAUUUUGGUGUUACAUAGCUGAUCUCCGAGAGUGAACAUGAUUUCCAGAGAAGCAAUCACCGACUAACCUUUACCGACCACAGAGAAUAUAUAAAAUAACAGAUCACCCUCAGGCACUCAACGCGAACUCUAGGCAAAAGUGGUGAAUCUAGUAGUGUACAGUGAUAGCUAGUCUUAAGCUUGUAAUACAUAAAAAGCAUUAUAAGUACCCUAAAAGCUUGGUGACAUGGUAACUUUUUUCUUUUUUAAUAAAAAAUAUAUAUCUAGUAGGAAUCUUAGUCCCCACCUGUUCCUAAAAAAGUACCAAGACUCUAGCAGUCCUACCUCGGGGCUUUCUUAUUUUUACAACAAAAAAAAAAGGCAAUGGGGGUACUAAUACUAUGCAGCAAGAGGUGAGAACAAGAUGACAUGAAGAUGCACAAAAAUAUUUGUGCUCGAGAUGAAAUCUGUCCUGCCCUGCAAUGGACUAUCCCACUCUUUCACAACCAAAAUUUAUGCUCGAACAAGAUGCUUUUACCUUUACUAUCGGUUUCAUGACUACACGCACGCCGGCCUACAUGUUGCCAGCACAGCACAUGCGCCAACCUGUUUUGUUACGCCAUCUCAGCCCAGGUCUGUGCCAGGCAAGCAGCACGAAAAUGUUUCUAUGUUUAGUAUCGAUUCCCUUUGUUUCAAAAUAGAGUUGAAUUUAGAUUUAUCCUAAAUCAAAUUUCUAUAAAUUUGAUAGGCAUCAACCUCUACAACAUCAAAUUAGUUUCAGUGAAUCCACCAUGAAAUAUCUUGACAGUGUAUUUUAUUUGGUAUUUUUUGAUGAAGUCAGUAGGAAAGCCACAACCUAUUUUUUUUAAUUUUUUAUUCUAGACCUGUUUAAUUCGCUUCCAAGAGGAGUCGAACUAAGGUCUGCUGGAUACUGCUCAAGUGCUCUAACCACUAGGCUAGAUGCACUUUUUUAUUUGGUAUUGUAGAUGUUAUUAUAUUUUUUUAUAAACUUAAUCAAAAUUAGAGAAAGUUUGAUUUAGUGAACUGAGCGUAGCCUAGCUGGUAAGGUCCCUUGUGGUGGAACCUGCUCAGUGGUAGGUGAUGUGCCCAUUGAUAGCGAGAUGUCAGUGGUGACUUCAUCAAUCUCGAGGAUUUACCGGUUCAAUUUUUCGGAGGUGCUCAUAGGGGUAAAGUUGCGUGCGUGUAUUCGUAGGGACGAGUGUGCGUACAUGUAUGUGAGCGUCUACGUCUGUGAUUCACAGUAAAAAAGAGAAAGUUUGACUUAGAAAAAACUAAUGAAAAAUAUUUUAGAAUGGAUGAAGUAAUCAAUUAGGUGCUGAUUUAUUUUUUUAAGACGUACAUAUGAGAAAGUUACCUAUCAAAUUAUUCUUACUAUAUUUGGUCAUUUAAAGACGACUCGUCAUGCUAGAUGACCGGAAGGAGUAGUAAAGAAUUAGUCUUAGACGACUCCACCGGAGACAGGCAAUGAAAACGACAACUAGCAAGUAACUACCACGACAAGCAGCCAUAAGGUGGUUGAAACUGCACAACAAGUCAACAACUAGCUCUCUAAGGAAGGUUGAUUUUUAGGGCAGUUCCAAAUCAUAGUUUCUAUGGGUAGUUUUUAUGUUCACAUAUCAUCAAGAUGCCACUUGUAGAUCUAAUCUCCCCAACCUAUAAUUUCUAUGGGUAGUUUCUACGUAUGAUUUCACGCAAGCAGCACAAACAAAGCUCGGUCAGCUGUGGCAAGCAACCGCGUAGCCUUCAUGCUGCCACAGUCCGAGCCAUUGAAAUUAAAAUAAAUUCAUUCGCAGCUGCUAUAAGAUCGAUCAACCUGGAAAGAGCCGCCAAGAGACGAUGCAGGCCAAAAUGCAGGAGCGAGAUGAGCGCUGGUUCGAUCAGUGCCUGGACAAAGUGCCAAAGUGGCGCUAGAAGCAACGGACGGAGAACUAGCGCCUGGAGAAAGCAACAGCAGCAGCACCAACAACUCGUCUGGAACUUGAAGAGGGCUUCCUCGAUUUCUUUUGAUGUACGCCUUUCUUCUCCAAUCGAUCCUUAGAAGCGGCGCGUGGGGAAUUGCUGGCGGAGGCUUGGUGCGCGGCCGCGCACGGGGGUGGCCAGCGGCGUCAGGCGGACACAAGCGCCGGAAAUUGGCACGCGCGAGCGAGGGAGGGGAUGGCCCGCGGCGCGCGCGUGAGGGAGGGUCGCGACGCGGCAGUAGCAGGCGCGCACGGAGCCUGGGGGUGGGUCGCGGCGCACAGCGGAUCGGGAAGAUGCGCAAGAAAACGAGGAAGAAAACCGUAACGCUGGCCCAACGCGAUUUCGGCGGUAUCUACGCACUUGAUUCGCGAGCUGACUCGGUUUCUAACAUGAGAAAAACAACGAUAUCUCGCUCUUUCUUCGUUAAAUCACCUGCCACGUCGUUAGCCCCCUUUGUCACGGCUCCUUGAGGAGCUUCUCCACCGGCUUCUCAAGGAGCCGUGUCAAACACUUUCUUCAAAACAGCUUCUCCGGCGAAACUGCCUAAAAACCUGUUGAGAGGAGCCAAAACGAGCAGGCGGAGCUAGGAAAAUGAGCUCCCCGCGGCUCCCUCAUCCAUCCUGCACCAUUCGGUACCAUAAUACCCCUGGAGUUUGCCGAAUUUACACCCAUUUUACCACUGCCUUCUUUUCUCUCUCUCCCCUAUCGCCCAUUAGUGGAGGAACGACGGGCGGCGACUAGCAGCGGGAGGUUCAAGCACCAGGAGGCGUGGCAGAGGUGGCCGGCAGUGGUACGCGGAAGCGGUGGCGGCUGGCAGCCGUAGGCAGCGCAGGCCAGGGAGAAAGAGAGGACGAAAAUAGAAAGGCAGCUGGCAGCACGCGUGGUGGCCAGAGAAGGAGGCUAGGGGGGUGGCCGGAGAAGGCAGCCAUGGGAGCGCGGCACGCCGGAGAAGGUGACGACAGGCGGCUGAUCUGGUGCAGUGAGGUGUAGGGUCGCGACACGGUAGUAGCAGGCAUGCACGGAGCCUGGGGGUGGGUCGCGGCGCACAACGCAUCGGGAAGAUGGGCAAGAAAACGAGGAAGGAAACCAUAACACUAGCCCAACGCGAUACCGGCGGUAUCUAUGCACUUUGGUGCGCGAGCCGACUCAGUUUCUCACCUGAGAAAAACGAUUUCUUACUCUUUCUUCUUCCCUGUUUGGUUCCUUUAGUGCAUAGACUGGACUAAACUUUAGUCCCACCCCUGUUUGGUUCCAUGGACUAAGGGGGUGUUUGGCUCCCAGGGGUCAAACUUUAGCCCCUGUCACAUCGGAUGUUUGGAUACUAAUUAGGAGUAUUAAACAUAGGCUAAUUACAAAACUAAUUGCACAGAUGGAGGCUAAUUCGCGAGACGAAUCUAUUAACCCUAAGUCCAUGAUUUGACAAUGUGGUGCUACAGUAACCAUUUGCUAAUGAUGAGUUAAUUAGGCUUAAUAGAUUCAUCUCGCGAAUUAGCCUAGGGCUUCUCUAAUUAGUUUUAUAAUUAACUCAUGUUUAGUCCUCCUAAUUAGCAUCCGAAUAUUUGAUGUGACAAAGGCUAAAGUUUAGCCCCUAGUAUCCAAACAACCCCUAAAAUGGACUAAAGUUCAUAAAUACUGUUAAACAAAGACCUUUUUACUCUUCUUCCCUACCCUCUUGGUAUCCCUGCGUCUACUCCUCCUCACACGGGAACUCUAACUACCGCUGGUUGAAGCUUCUCCAUCUCCAGCGCCAAUGGAGCACCGCCCGGGCAUGCCCAACCUACCCCGCCACAUGCGAACUCCCGCGCGGUGCAGGCAAGAUCCUUUGUGUGCCGGCGAGCAGUGGAGCGAGCAGAGGAUUGGCCCGAAUGGGGGAGCCUCGAAUCGGCGACAAGAUGGAGGCUCAUUGAUUCGGCCACAAGGUGAGCUCAAGGGGGCGUCGUGUUGAUUUGGACGCUGGGGAGGCUCGACGGGGUGGCGAUGUGUCGAUUUGACCGUCGGAGGACCCCGAGGGGGCGGCGGCAGUCCUUCUCAUCGCCUCUCCCCCAUGGCGGGCUAGCACCAUCGUACAUUGAAGCUCCGCCAGCCUAGCUGCAGGGCAAGCGAGCUUCGAUAGUGCGGCCACGGUACGGUCGAGCGCCACCGCGUAGGUGAGGGCAGCAGUGGGCCGGCGGCGAGGGGAGGGGAGCAGCGGUGGGUAGGCACGAGCGGAGGAGCAGCGGCCGGACGUGGGGAGAGCGGCGGCGUGGGGAGGAGAGCAGGAGGGAGGCGGGUGGUGAUGGCAGCGGGCGGCGACGGCAGCGAGUGGGAGGGAGGCCAGGUGGGAGGGAGGCGGCGGGCGGGAGGGAGCCGGGUGGGAAGGAGGGCAGUAAAUGAGGGGUAGGGGUGUCCCAACACCCUUUAGUCCAGUUUUGUGGAUUAGAGGACUAAAGCCUUUUGUUCAAACUUUAGUCCACUGUUUGGGUGUUUAGGGACUAAAAGUGCACCAAAACUUUAGUCUAUGAGAACCAAACACCCCCUGAAUCACCUCCCACAUCAUUAGAUUGCUGAGAUGGUAACACCCCCUGAAUCACCUUCCACAUCAUUAGAUUGCUAAGAUGGUACUGUAUUGAAUGAUAUAGAAAUUGGGUGACUUGAAGGUUGGGAAUGCCCUUAAUAUUUUCUCACUUGGAUCCCAAUUUCAUCUCGUGGGCUUGCUCUGUUAAGUUUCCUCUCAUGUGGUUGAAACAGCUUCGGCUGUGGCUUCUCUGAUGGAGCGGUUUUUUUAGCUCUAGUUUGCUUGAUUGGAAAAACAUUUGGCAAAACAGCUUCUCCUGAUUGUUUUAAAUGGAUAAAAAUGUGAAAUGUCCAUACUACCCUUACCUUUUUUUUCUUUUCUAUUUCUUUUCUUUUUUUUCAUUUUCCUUCCUCUUUUAUUGCUUUUUCCUCCACGGUUCCAACCGUUUCUUUCUGCCUACCUUAUCCUUUCGCUCCAUCCCAACGCCAACGCCCGCGCAUGCUGCUGCAGUGCCAUCCUCAUGCCCUACCGCGCCUAGGGGCAAACUGGAGACUUCGGCCUUGCGGAUGGGACGAAGCUGCGGGGAGUCAAUUUUAAUUUUUGGCUUCUCCUCCACUCUUAGCUCCUCUCAGCGCGAAUUGUGGGGCUCCAUCGGCGGAGCCGUUUCGUUCUUCCCCGUUUGGCAGCUAGGGCUGCUCAAGAAGUCCUGCCAAGAGGACCUUAUUCGUAGGCAAAACAUGAACGAAGUCAAAAGGCCAAAAAUCAUAACAUCGUACCAUUAAACGCACCCCUGUUGCCCUUCUACCCCCAAACAUUUGGAACGAGAUAGUUUCUUAGACGAAUCGGGCAGAUGAUUCUCUGGAACAUAUCAGGGAUGGCUUGCCUUGCCUUGCCGGGCAGAUGAUUCUUGGAAGAAAAUUACCGUGCCUUGCCAGGCUCGUGCCGGACCCUACUGGGGCCGCUCGUUUGGACAUCCAUAGCCAAGUGUGAAUUUUAUGGUGGGCAAGCAAAAGGCGAAACACGAUAUCGAUGGAUUGAUGCAAGCUGAUUUGAAACCCCCUCGCUAAUCUGAAAGAAAUAAGACAUGCACGCUUACCUUCAACCGGAUCGGUCCUUGUCCUCGCUUGCUGAGCUUGCGCAGAUGCAGCUAGAAGAAGCAGCAGCAGCAGCAACGUCGGGAGCGCAGCAGAGCCAUGGCGGCACGAACUGCUGGGUCCAGGCCUCCUCAUCUCCUUCCCCUCUCUCUGGCCUCGAGCUCGGGAUUGGCUGCCCCUUCCGAGGCCGAGCGGGAUAUAUGGUAACCUGAUGGAGACUCGGAUGGCGACUUGUCUCAGGCCCCGCCGCCGCGGUGGACACAUGCACCUCCCUCGACGCUGCGCCACCAUGCAAGGAUGGCGCAACUAGGGAAUUUUCUAUGGUCAAGUGGCGCCACUGCUCUGUCCAAGACUCCAAGCACAGUGGACGCGACGGGCCAACAACUACCUCCAGGCUCCCACAUGGAAGCAGAGCCGAAGGCGAUCGACGACGACGGUGACCGUGUUGUUCUGUGCGAGGAGACUUACAGCUUGGUGACGUGGCAGACGGUCGCCGCUGAUGUUCCAUGCCGACGCCGCCGUUUAGCACUUUCAUUAAAUAUUUUACAUAUUUUCGAUAAUGUGGUGAAAUUGUGUUUUCUAUGAAGGCUUGUGAACUUGAUAUUACAAAUAUUAUAUAAUUCCAUCAUAUGCGUUACACUAAAGAUUUUACCAGAAGCACAGGAAUCAAUGGGUGAUAUUGCUCCACCUCGAGUGCAGAGUGGGAGUGAACUUACAUGUUCUAAAAUAUAAACAAUAUAAACUCUUGUUACGCUGCUGGAGAGGAGGCAUCGCUGGAGUCGCACUUCGCCUCGUUGGACACGCAUCACCCCUCUGCUCUGUAUGGGUCUCUUUUGCGUAGCUCUUGCUGGCUCCAGCUCCAUUACUGUAGCACACUAUAGUUUAUCGUAGUGCGUGUCGGAUCUGGAGUUGGGGGGAGCAAUUUUUUCUAAAUUCACCGGCUCCUCCUCCAUAACUGUAGUACAAUGUAGCUAAUCGUAGCGCAUGUCAGAUAUGGAUUUUGACUCUUCACUACAGUACAGCACAACAGUGAUACAAGUAGCGUGACAUAGGAAACGAGAGCCGUGAGGGAGCGGUGCCAAAGGGGUCAUACGGGUGUCUUCCUCUAUUUUCUUUGCGACGGGAAGAGGUAAACAUAUGGGUGGGGCAUCAAGCUAAGUGCACGAGAUUGUGCUCUGAGAAAAUCUUGCUGCUUCUUUUUUUAAUCAUAGAUCGGGUUGGCAUCGUCCUGUCGUUCUGUCAUAAAUCAUAUAUAUAGAUCCGGAUAGACCAAACCCUCCAACAUCAUCAUUUGGUCCUGGCCUCAAAAAUCAAACCCGAAAAAGAAAAUCGAUCUAAGACGGGCGAAGCAACAAUCGAUCAGAGCACAUAACCUAACACAAAAUACGUGCAAAAGCUGAAUAUAUAUCCUCAGAACGUUUGUGACGUGCAUUUACAGAAAACUGUCCGUCAACUUGCAAAUCACCGGCCUUCUUCUCGGAGCUGUUAGAGGUUUAGGCAUUUUACGGCAUAUUUUAAUUCCGAAUAUUUCUAAGUAAAUUAUGGUUAUUGUGAGUGAUACAGAGCGUGUGCAAGUGUUUUGUUUAAAACACGUUUGAACGUAAACAGAACCAAAAGAAAGAACCAGAUAAGGUUCAGUAUGUACCUAGGGGCGGGAUCAUUGCCGAAGGCAAUGGGUGCGCCGUUCCUAGAACUGGAUGCAUCAGACAUUGUGUCUAAAAUGUCGGUUCGGGCUGUUCGAUGUAGUUGAUCAAAGUUGAUGCAGUGUCGAGUUGGUGCAGAGCAGUCCCUUGAACGGCCUCCAGGAUGUAGCAUGACGCGCAGAAGAUGCGCUUCCCCAAAACUUGAUCGCCUGCCUACUCGUGCAAGUGUCGCAGCAGGAUGAAGUUUCGGAGGCCUGCGCGUAGAGGCUCGCGAUGGGAAUGUCAAGAUAGCAGCGGGCAACAGCAAAAAAAAAGGGAGAGAUGCGCGUAGAGGCUCGCGAUGGGAAUGUCAAGAUAGCAGCAGGCAACAGCAAAAAAAAAGGGAGAGACGCGUGCGCGGCUCGACGAGGUGAGCAAGCGCGCACGGCACCCUUUCUCUCUUCCUCAACUUCUCAAUUAGUGCACACAUAGUCCACCUAUUUAAGUUGGUUAAGAUACUCUUAACUAUCCAGGUAGAAUUAACCACUUUAUCCAUCUAGCAUUACACGUGGAUCCUGAGAUUAAAUGAAUUAAAUCGGCCUAACCUGAAUAUUCCAACAGGAGCUAGCUAAUGAACGGCGAAGAGGUGUGCGACGAGGCGGCCCUUGGGGCCAAGCUCGACUGCCCGCUCAUAUUGCUGCUCAUGAAGCUGCUGGUGUUGCCUCCCUUGAUCUGCCAUUCGGUGAUGUAGCUGGGCUUGUUCACCACCUCGCCCACCUCCACGUCGUCCCCGGCCAGCAUCGACACAGCCCGAGACAUGGACGGCCGCUGGUGGGGCGAGCCCUGGGUGCAGAGCAGGGCCACGUGGAUGGCACGGAGCACCUCGUUGCUGUUGAAGUCAGCAAUACAGUUGCCAAACCUGAAAGCACAGAAAAUUAUCUAGAAAUGCUAAGAUGCCAGGCUAGCGUGACAUGUGUUUAGGGACGUUUCAUUUACCAAAUAUAAUCUCGUAGUAAUACCGUAUCCCUUAAUUUAUAGACGGGAUUAAAAUCAUUGGUGAGUUGCAUGGCAAUAAUAAGUAUAUCGGUGAAUGAGUAUUCUUUUUUUAAGUCAACGGGGGAGUGCCCCACCUGAUUCAUUAUAGACCAGCACGCUAGCACGCUUCCAUUAUUGGUGAGUUGUAUGGCAAUAAUAAGUAUAAGCCCCCUGCUCUUUUGGCUAGCACGCUUGCUCCCACCCAACAAGACAUUGUGCUCCACUAACUGUAUCUUCCCCGGACCACAGGAAACGUCAUCGUUGGCAAUUGAGAGCGUCAAUGUUCCCUGGGGGUAGAAGGAGCACUGACAUAGCGUAGGUAAGCUGGCUGUCCAUGACGCUAUUGAUCAGCACUGCAUGGCCCAUUGGAUUCAGUAGGGAGGCGUGCCAGCCGCUGAGAUGCCUGUCCGCUCUAGUGAUCAGAGGGCUGAACACGGACAGACGUAGCUUCUCGUGGGACAGUGGCAGCCCCAGGUAGGUUUGGGGGAAGCUGCCAAGUUGGCACCCAAGAAUACUUUGAAGCGCCGUGGUAGUCGAGCUGGAAGUGUUCAUUGGCAUCAUGGUACUCUUGUUGAAAUUGAUGUGCAGCCCCGUGGCCUCGCAGAACAGAUCAAGCACCUGCUUCAGCGCCACCAGCCCAUCUUGAUCUGCCUUGAGGAGGAUGAGGGUGUCAUCGGCAUAUUGGAGCACGGGGCACGGCUUCCCCGAGGUGGCAGGGUGUGAAAUCCUCUGGUCGAGCUUGAUCAUCUGCUGAAGGACGUCAGUGACCAGAAGGAACAACAGGUAGGGGGAUAGUGGAUCCCCCUGCCGUAGGCCUCUUCCACAGGCGAACCACGGGCCAGGAACACCAUUGACAAGGACAACAAGCUUCAAGGUUUGCAACAUGCUCGUGAUCCAGUUGCACCAGAGGGGCGGGAAGCCUCGCGCAUCCAUGAUGGCGUUGAGACUGAGACAAUCCACAGAGUCGAAGGCUUUGGCGAAAUCAAGCUUCAGAACCACGGUGGGUAGCUUGCGGCAGUGGCAGCACUGGACGAGCUCCAUCGCGUAGAUGAAGUUCUCAGAGAUCGAGUGCCCCUUGAUGAAUCCUGUCUGGUCUAGAUCAAUGAGGCGGGGGAUCUAGUGUUGCAGCCGCGUCGUCAGCAUCUUAGAGAUGAUCUUCAAGGAGCAAUUUUGCAGGCAGAUUGGGCGGUAGUCCCCCGGCGUUUUGUCAAGGAGACAGCGACCGCUUCGUACGAUUCCACUAACCGAUUCAAUGUAGCAACGACAGCUGCUUUCGUCACGGAUGUGCACCACGUCCAUGCGUUUGCAGGAAAGGGAGCGCAAAAAAAAAGAGAUAUUUUUGUGAACCGUACAGGCGGAUAUUACAAGGGCUGGGCCUAUUACAAGGCCCAAGGCCUGGUCACUCAUGACACAAAGCACGUUCGGUGAUAUGAAGCUGUGUGGUCCAGCCAAUUGCAAUUUACAGCCUUUUUUCGAGCGAAUUGGCAAUUCUUGUACACAUCCGAAUCGAAAUUUUUCCAAGUGAAUUUCCAAGAAACAAUCUUGGUCUUGGCAGAAGUUGAUCUUAACUUGCCGAUGGGCGAUGGUCAUCAAUCACCGGCCUUCAUCGAUGACGGAGCUCAGGGACAUGGCCUCCGCCCCCGGCUCCGAGCUCGACGUCCCCAUGGCGUUGCUCUGCCACUCGAUGACGUAACUGGGCUUAGUAACCGCCUCGGGCACCUCAAUGUCCCCGACGAGCAUCGACACCACCCUCGACAUGGGCGGGCGCUGCCGAGGUGAGCUUUGGAUGCAGAGGAGGCCAACGCGGAUGGCACGGAGCACCUCUUCGCUGUUGAAUUCUGUGAGCCUAGGGUCUGUGACGUCCAGAGGAUGGUCGUCCUCGUAAAGUUGCCAGACCUGAAAGCAUGAUAAGUUGGGGGACAAUUCAGAUCCAACUGUUUUUUUUUUCCUGUCGCAAUAGCAGAACAAAAAAACACACAAUCAUCAUUUUCAAGAUGGUUCCAAACAUUGAUCUUCUGCUGUGCAAGUACGCAACAAUAGGAUCCACAAUAAUACUACGGCCAUGCUAAAAUUUAACAAGAGAUGCCAGCCUCUAAUAACAAGUUCACAUAAUGACAUGUUGACUAGCAGUUUCUGCAAAAAAAAAAGGCAACUUUUCGCAAGUUUUUGGUUAGACUGUUUAAGUCCAAGGUUCGAUAAAACCCUUUGUCACCGGUCCGUGAAGGGACGUAUCUCCCUCUGAUCUAUUUUUUCCUUAAAAAUUCUAUGAGAAAAAUACUAUCUGGAACAAAAGAAAUUCAUAUAAUGAAAAAGUUCCAUCCAUGGGAAAAAAAGAAAGAAAGUACAAGUAUAAUCAUACCAUCUAAUAUAGUUAAUGUAUUUUUCUAAUAUAAAGCAUCAUGUUCUCUACCCACUCGUAAAAUUUAAAUCUAAAACUCAACUUGUACAUGAAAAAAAAAUAUUAUGAGGGAUAGGUCGGACCAACUAAAAUAGUUUGGGAUAGUAAAUUAAUCCAGAAUUUUGUUCAUAGGGUUAAACGGAAAAAGUGGAUUGCUUAGGGUAGUAUAAUUUUUCCAUUUUAUGUUUCUAUAGUCUAAAUAAUUGUUAAGUGCAGGGAAAGGAUUAGCUUUAUUGAUCUGUGGAACUAACACAAUGGCAACGACUGAGCUAGAUUCGCCCUCUGCAGAGGCUCUGAAUCUUAACAACUCAAUCCUUGCUUGCCUAUCAAUAAAGAACCAGCCGGCUUAUAUAUUGCUUGGUGCUAACAAACCAAAUCCUAAUUAACAGCUAUUGCUAACCUCCUGCCAUCUUAUCCAACAAAUCAGGCGCCUAACAUGCCGGAGCUGUUGCUGGCGCCGGCUUGCUGCGCCGCCUGUAGGUUCAGCCCACAAAAGCGUCCACAACAAUAAUACCUUAUAUUUUGAUAAAAAAUAGGUAUGUCUCAUCAACAAAUGAUUUUAGAAUGAUAUAAAUUGUGUAGUAUUGUAGGUGCGGGUACUAUUCAAACUUUAGCAGACUAAAAUUGUGGUUGUGUUUUUUUUUCUGCAGGUAAAAAAUCGUGGUUGUGUUUGAUUAAAAAAUCUCAUGAAUGCAUGUGUGCUUUGAUACUUUAAAUCACUCAUGAAUCUAGUGUGGAUUUUCCGACCCCAAUAGCAAAGGAAAAAGAGUGGAACAUUGCAUGACCUGGAUCUCAAUUGUACAGUGACCUUACCCAUUCUAAAAGAUAUGCUUUGUCUUCACCAAGCCUACCAUCAUAGUUUGGCCUUCCAGCUAUAGUCUCCAAUAUGACCACACCAAAAGCAAACACAUCAACUUUCUCACUCAUAUGACCUCUCAUGGCGUACUCAGGUGCAAGAUAUCCACUUGACGAAAACAGCAAAAAGAUCACCAUUAGCUCACAAAGUUAACGAAACUAAUAUAGUGUGUCAAGAUGCGUAAGGGGGAGAAGGUUGGAGAUGUGCUUACAAUGUACCAGCAACUUUUGUGCUGAUAUGCGUGUUCUUGUCAUCAUAAAGUUUGGCGAGACCAAAAUCAGAUAUCUUAGAAUUAAGAUUGGCAUCAAGUAAGACAUUACUAGCCUUUAUAUCCCUAUGCACAACACGGAUGCUAGACUCUUCAUGGAGGUAAGCCAGGCCUCUUGCAAUGCCCAAACAUAUCUCAAAGCGUGUUGGCCAGUCCAGGUUCAAUCUCCCAUUUCCUACCAAUGAAGAAUAAUUUUCAGAUUUAUGUAAGAAACCUGAACUCUUUGCACUUGCAUCGAAUUGAAUGAAACAUUACCGAACAAUGCUUUAUCAAGGCUUCCGUUGUCUAGAUACUCGUAAACCAACAAUGGGUUAUUGCCUUCAAGGCAGCAACCAUACAACUUCACGAGAUUACGGUGUUGCACUUGAGAAAUAGUUUCUAUUUCUGUUAUGAAUUGCUUCUUCCCCUGACGGGAUGUUUCAGAUAGUAGUUUUACUGCCACUACACUUCCAUCGGAUAAUUUACCCUGCCAGAAGGUAUCAUUUUUAAAAAUGCAUGUUUUAAGUAUCAGCGUUACCAUAUGUAUACUGUAAUGAAGAAAAUGAAGAAGACAACCACAACAAAAAGAAAAAGAAAUCAGUAGGGAGCAUAUGUAUAUAUUUUUUUGAAAUAAAUAUGUAUAGAUUUGUAUUAGUAAAAAGAACGGGAGAAGCAUGUGCAGUGAGAAAAAGAAUUCACAUUGCCCAAAAGUAGAGAUAAAAUAAAAGAGGUCUAGCCAAUUUGCAUAAAGAAACAGAUCAGUGUCAAAAAAUUCACAGAAAGUAAAAUUUAACAGAAAAUUGUCAUCCAUGUGUACUACAUAUGAACUAACCUUAUAAACUGACCCAUACCCUCCUUCGCCGAGAAAGUUACUGGAAUUAAAAUUUUCACUAGCGGUCUUUAGUUCACCAUAACUGUAAGUGAAUAAAUUAGGUCUUCCAACAGUAUUGUACAGGUCUGCAAGGAUGACAAGCAAUAAAUUCAUGAACACAACCAAUGUUUGUUUAAAGAAUACAUUGUGAGCAUAGUGUAUCAUGUACCUUGUUGCUCCAAAGACAGUUUUCUACUUUUCUGCCUCCGGACAUACAGUCCAGUGAGCACUAUUAGUCCUACAACUACUGCACCAACCGCAGCUCCAACAAUUGCACCUGUUUUAUUCUUACUUCUCUUCCGAGCAGCAUUAGGUGCUGUAAUCGUGAAGUAUGUCAGAUUCAAAAAAAGCUCACUUGUUGGAAUAAGACAGUGAUCUUACAAAGAAUCAGCAUAUUUUGACUCUGAAGUUUAUGUUAUGUUCUCCUUUACUCAUUUUUAUUUUGGAAUUCAGAUGAGAAUAUUUGCACAAUUUAGAAUAGAUAUGCACGAUUAGUAUAUAUUUAUGCAUAGGUUUAAUUGUCAGCAUGUUUAAUUGUCAGCAUUUCUCAUGGUCGAAACUAUAUGCACAAGUCGACCAAAGAAGGCUGUGGUCAACAGCCCGUAAUUCAACACCCGAUCCGUUGAAGAUGGACCGUAAAAGAUGUCAAUGGGAAGGCUGCUGCUGUCACUACUGACGUUGGUGAUCUCCGUUUCCUGCAAGUUCAUUUCGUUUACUUCUGUCACUACUGACGUCACCCGAUCCGUUUCCUUCUACUACAUCUCACCUGCACCAAGCAGGCAUAUGGAUCUUCGCUAAAGCCUAACACAGCUUCUCCAAGUUCAUUUCAAGUCUAUCUAUUCACUAUUAGAUUUAGGUGAUCACACUCAUGCGAGUUUAGUUGGUCCCGUUGCAAUGCAUACGGACCGGGUAUCCCCCUGGAAUUCUAAAAAAAAAACUCAUGCGAGUUUAGACCUAACAAGAUGGUGUUAGAAUCAUGUGAUUUGAAGCAAAUGGGAGAGAGAGUACCUGGAGUUACACUCAAAGCUGAGAUUAAAGGCCCGUAGUGGCCUUGAGUAGGGAUGCAACAAGUGCCCUUGCCAGCCCAGAACAGAUGAAUUUCAAGGAAGUUUCUAGUGACAGGAAUAAUAUAUUGCUUCUGGACAGCAGCGUAAGAUCCUCUUGCUUCCUUUCUUAUGUCAAAGUUCUGCUCCUUCCGCUCACCCUUUACCAAAAUAAAAAACUCGUGACCAGCUCAAGCUAAAAUGUAAAAACCAAGGGUAGGUUAUUAGUACGACUGGAACUAACCUACCUGUAUAUAGAUAUCAAAAACUCUUUUACCUAAACUUUGCCAAGUCCGUGAGUCCUCAAAGCUAAUCUCUGCAAAUUGAAGCGUUACUACAUAGUUUCCGUUCUCAAGUCCAAUGCCAAAGUAUCUUAAAGACGAAGGCGACAUCCUUGCUCUCUGGAACAGUUCUGAAUCUGGGGUAUUCCGAAACAGGCGUGUUGAGGUGUAUACUGUGUAACUUGCAUUUGAGCUUUGUAUUAUGUAAUCUCUUUCAAAUGCCUCCAUGAACCUCCCAACAUUGCUAACACCCCAUGUUGGUGCUCCUGUAACAUAAUAGGAUGCAGGUCCAAGAUUGGCAUCAUCAGGCAGAUACACGGAACCAUCUGAUCCUGACAUUGAACUACUGCUCCCGCAGUCCACAGCAAAGGAGGUAGCUGCAAGCAUGUUGAAUUAUUUAAUACUGAUGUUAAUUUAGCUAAGUAGACGCACGUUGCAGAAGCUAGAAGCUCACUUUGUGGAGAGCCAAGAAAGCAGGGUGUGUCUCGCUGAAGGCACUCCAGCCCCGAAGGUAAUAAGACACUGCAGAUGUCAAACAUUGACAUUUUGAAUUCAAAAUACGAGCUUAGAGAACAAUAAUUGUACAUGAAGACUUUGAGGAGCUAUUCGAAUGUAAACUGACCUGUUAUUGGAGUUGCUGACCACGAAAUUGUUUGCCACCAAAUUCCUAUGUACAAUGAAACAUGGAAAAAAGGCACCGUUCAUACUUCAGAGCAUAGAGGGUUUGUUUUAUAAGACAAAUAAAAGCAGGGACAAAUAACUGAUUCAUUUUUUCAGCGAAACUGUAAUGAAAAGUAAUUCUCCUUCAUUAAAGAUUCUGAAUUAUAUGUGGCUUAGAUUCUGAAUCAUAGAUGACGUCAAAUGCAAAAAGAAAAAGAAACAAAGAAAAAAGAAAUAUGAUCUAGGUGCAGCAAAAGCAGCUUUUUAGAUGUAGUUGAUAUUAAAAAAUGCUAGUUUAAUACAUGUGUACGAUAUUGGAUUUUCGGUCAGUCAAUCAAGCUUGCAAAACUCAGCACUUACAAUGUCAAAUUCGGACUAACCCAGGAGGGAAAGUUUCCUGAUAGCUGGUUGUAGGAAAAGUCUCUACACAAAAGAAAGCAUGUAAAUGUUAUAGAUAAACGCCUUCCUGGUUUUACUUCACAAAUGAAAGUGGACAAACAUACAAGUUUUUAAGAGAAGUUCCUAUAGAACUUGGAAGGCUUCCUGAAAGACUAUUAUUCCCGAGAAACCUGGGCAGACCAAAUUUGCGCAUUAGCAAGAUUGAUGAUCAUUGUCAUCAGAACCUAGAAAUAAGUAUCAGAAGGCAAGAUAAACCAUACAAGAAGCUGAGUAUAUUCAGAUUCAGCAGAGCUUGUGGUACUUGGCCAGUGAUAUUGUUAAAACUCAAAUCCCUGUAACAGUAGAACAAAUGAGACUAGGAGAGAAAGGGGUCAUCAAACAAUGCAUAAUCCACAGCAGUUCAUUAAAGCAUCUAGCAAAACAUGCAGUUGACUGGAGUUUAGGAAGAAACAAAAUGUCUUACAGUAGGCUUAAUUUUGCAAACUGUGAAAAGUUUACUGAUGCCAGGUUAUCAGAUAUCCUGCAGUUCCUCAAAACUCUGCAAUGAAACAUGUCAAGAGUUUUCGGAUUUAACAAUUGGUUACACUACAGAAAAUAUUAAGAUGUAGUUUGAGUCAUCAAAUGAAUGGCAAGUUAUGCAUACAAGGUGUUUAAAGAUGUCAUGUUACUGAUGAAUGCCAGUGAAGAACUUCCAUUUACUAUGUCACCUAUUCGUCUGCACCACAGAAAUAGAUAAUCAAUUCUUCUGUUCUGCAACCUUAAUAUUUGACAAUGAUACUUAUCUACUCCCGCCAUCAGUAGUCACUUACAAGCUUGUCAGUUGGACAAGAUUAGAAAGAGUGGUUGGAAGUGGACCUUGAAAUGAAUUGCCUUGAAACCGUCUGCAAAAUUAUAGUUGUUGUUACUAGUGAAGAAAGAAGGAAGAUCCUGCUGGUACAAGGGUCACUUUCUUGGUAAAAAAAGUAAAUAGAUUUAUGCAGAUAGAAAUAUGAUCUGUUCCAUAAAAAAGAUAAUUAUUAGAAAAAUCAAUUCAAUAUUUUUAACACUAGUAUUUUUUUAAUGGAACAGGAGGGGUUAGGACCCCUACUGGUUAUAUAUUCAGGAAAAAGGAGUCUUUUACAGAGGAAAAAGGAGAAAAAGGAAAAUUACAACAGAUUGUCAAGCCAUUCUGUGAUUCUAGGGAAAGACUUCUUUUUUUGCUCGAUGGAUAACCAUAGAAAAUUCAUACUUGAAAAUGUUUCUGCAACUCUCAACUGAAACUUGUUGUUGCCUGGAGAUUGCAUUGUUCCUUGUUGUCCAGAAUAUGUGGAACAGCACCGCAUCAUCAUGAAUAGUGAAAAAUGUAAUAUUUACUAAAAUGAUGAAACCACCUCACAUCUGACCUUAAGUGGAUUAUUUUAAUAGGUCACUGAAUGGAGAUUUAGCAGAGUAAAAACUACAAACUACACUUAGCUAAUACCAUCUCAUUUAUGAGCACAAUGAGCCAGGGUUCAAAAUGAAUUUCAUACUUGAGAACUGUUGCAAACUGUACACAAUGUCUUUAAAGAAAUUAUCAACACCAUCUGAAAAGUAUAAGUUGUAAAUCUUACAGAUCUGAUAAAUUACUGAGGCUCCCAAUGUAAUCUGGUAUUUGCCCAGUAAAAUCAUUAUCUGAUGCCCACCUAAUCACAAAUAAGAAUAACGCAUAAGGUUAAAUGAAUAAUACUGUUGACAAAACGUCUUUUAUAGGCAUACAAUGUUUUCAGGCUUGUAAGCUUAGAAAAUGAUGGUGGUAGUGGACCACUUAAGCCAGAGCUGUCAAUAUAUCUGCAAAACAGAAAUAAAAGAAUAAGAAUGUUAACAUGGUUUGGUAGAAGAAAAGGUAAGGACCACAGGGUGCCCAAAAUUAAUCAAAAUACGCACAGUUGCUCAAGUUUAACCAUGUUACCCAGUUCGGGAGGAAGGGAUCCAUUUAAGUUGUUUAUGCUUAUGCCCCUGAAAUCCCAAAAAAAAUGUCAGGUUAGUAGCAAAAGAUUUGUGACAGGAAACUUUCUUAUCUUUCGAAGGAUGAAUACUUUUCCCGACAGAGGUCAACUAGUAGAAGGAAUGAAGGUGUGUUUUUUCUAUAAGCAUGAUGUCGAUAGCAUGUAUUCUCAACUUAAACUGUUCUUUAUUUGUUGAUUCUUACACAUUUAAAUAAAUUCAUAGGUACGUGUACAAAGCCAAGUCGAGAUUUAUAAAACUUUGUAGUUUGGACAUUAGCAAAGAUUUCUACUGAAAUAGGACCAUGAAACAGAGAAGGUAAAUUUCUUACAGCGCUAUGAGAUUCACAAGCUUCCCAAGCUCCUUUGGAACAGAUCCAGAUAAUGCAUUCAUUGCAAGACUCCUUGUAUGUUCAAGGGAGAUAGUUUAAGUUUCAAUGUUACCCAAAACAUGCGAUGUAGUAAUGUUAGGUUCUAAAUCUCACAAGUAUUGCAAAGCAGUCAGUUCCCCAAGGAACGAUGGUAUAGGCCCUGUUAAGUAAUUUUGCAUUAAGUUCCUAAAAAACGUCAGAUCAGAUCAGAUGUAAACGAAAAAGGAUGGCUCUCAGUAGGUAUUAUAUUUAAAGAAAUUUUGAGCUUGAUGUGGGAGGCUACUACAAAGCAAUCCGCUGCUAUGAUAAUAUGAUAUGCCGUGGAACUGCGGGAAAUGACAAAGUCCACCAAUAAAUUGCGACUAAACAAUCUUAAUAUACACUUGGGAUACUUUGGCUCACUGACGAUUUCAAGAAAGUUGAGAAUUCAUACAAACUGGUCAAGUGCGUGAGGUUCCUCAGCUCUUCUGGUAUAGGACCUGCCAGAUUCAAUGCGUACAUUUUCCUGCAGCAAUAACAGUGAAGCACCCAUCAGCUCGCACCAUCUCAAUUUAGCCUUCAUGGAUGUUCGUCGUCAGACAAACACCACCAGGUUAUGGAGCGCCGUCAAAUAACCGCACAAGCAAUAGUUGCAGAGAUAAGGACGAUGCACUAGCCUGCCACACUCUGAGUGCACGAACUGCCACCUCAGGUGGGCAAAUUAGAGCUGAUGGUGGGCGUACGGAUAGGAAGCGUGAGACACUUACAGCCUGGUGAUGUGGCAGACGGUGUUGUUCUGGUACGUGCAGUCGCAUUUGAUUCCCGGGUUCAUUUUUGGGUCAUUGUCGACGUCGGUGUCGUCCGUGGCCGCGCCGGCGCAAGGGUCGACGCCGCUGAACCAAGAUGGCCACAGUCUGCUCCCGAGUUUGUCAAACACCCCCUUCAGCGCAUCCGCUGCGAAUGAGACACAAACACGAAAACGCGAUCAAACAUCCUGCCCCUCGGCAGUCCGAGAAAAUUUUGCAAUAUGCUCCUAUGGUUUAAGAUAUUUAGACCCUGACUAUAACUUUUUGCAGGCCGAGAGCUUGCAUUGUGUGGCCGAGGGGGAUUGAUUUGUUUAGUAUUCAUGUGCUCUAAUGGUCGAGAGUAUUUUGGUGUUACAUAGCUGAUCUCCGAGAGUGAACAUGAUUUCCAGAGAAGCAAUCACCGACUAACCUUUACCGACCACAGAGAAUAUAUAAAAUAACAGAUCACCGCCAGGCACUCAACGCGUACUCUAGGCAAAAGUGGUGAAUCUAGUAGUGUACAGUGAUAGCUAGUCUUAAGCUUGUAAAACAUAAAAAGCAUUAUAAGUACCCUAAAAGCUUGGUGACAUAGUAACUUAUUUCUUUUUUAAUAAAAAAAUAUAUAUCUAGUAGGAAUCUUAGCCCCCACCUGUUCCUAAAAAAGUACCAAGACUCUAGCAGUCCUACCUCGGGGCUUUCUUAUUUUACAACAAAAAAAAAGGCAAUGGGGGUACUAAUACUAUGCAGCAAGAGGUGAGAACAAGAUGACAUGAAGAUGCACAAAAAUAUUUGUGCUCGAGAUGAAAUCUGUCCUGCCCUGCAAUGGACGAUUCCACUCUUUCACAACCAAAAUUUAUGCUCGAACAAGAUGCUUUUACCUUUACUAUCGGUUUCAUGACUACACGCACGCCGGCCUACAUGUUGCCAGCACAGCACAUGCGCCAACCUGUUUUGUUACGCCAUCUCAGCCCAGCCAGGUCUGUGUCAGGCAAGCAGCACGAACAUGUUUCUAUGUUUAGUAUCGAUUCCCUUUGUUUCAAAAUAUAGUUCAAUUUAGAUUUAUCCUCAAUCAAAUUUCUAUAAAUUUGAUAGGCAUCAGCAUCUACAACAUCAAAUUAGUUUCAGUGAAUCCACCAUGAAAUAUCUAUUUCAUGAUAGUGUAUUUUAUUUGGUAUUUUUUGACGAAGUCAGCAGGAAAGCCUCAACCUAUUUUUUUAAUUUUUUAUUCUAGAUCUGUUUAAUUCGCUUCCAAGGGGAGUCGAACUCGAACUCAGGUCUGCUGGAUACUGUUCAGGUGCUCUAACCACUAGGCUAGAUGCACUUUCACUAUUUUAUUUGGUAUUGUAGAUGUUAUUAUAUUUUUUUAUAAACUUAAUCAAAAUUAGAGGAAGUUUGAUUUAGUGAACUGAGCGUAGCUCAGCUGGUAAGGUCCCUUGUGGUGGAACCUGCUCAGUGGUAGGUGAUGCGCCCAUUGAUAGCGAGACGUCAGCGGUGACUUCAUCAAUCUCGAGGAUUUACCAGUUCAUUUUUCGGAGGUGCUCAUAGGGGUAAGGUUGCGUGCGUGUAUUCGUAGGGGCGAGUGUGCGUACAUGUAUAUGAGCGUCUACGUCUGUACUUAUGAUUCGCACUUAUGAUUCGCAGUAAAAAAGAGAAAGUUUGAUUUAGAAAAAACUAAUGAACUAUAUUUUAGAAUGGACUAAGUAAUCAAUUAGGUGCUGAUUUAUUUUUUUAAGACGUACAUAUGAGAAAGUUACCUAUCAAAUUAUUCUUACUAUAUUUGGUCAUUUAAAGACGACUCGUCAUGCUAGAUGACCGGAAGGAGUAGUAAAGAAUUAGUCUUAGACGACUCCACCGGAGACAGGCAAUGAAAACGACAACUAGCAAGUAACUACCACGACAAGCAGCCAUAAGGUGGUUGAAACUGCACAACAAGUCAACAACUAGCUCUCUAAGGAAGGUUGAUUUUUAGGGCAGUUCCAAAUCAUAGUUUCUAUGGGUAGUUUUUAUGUUCACAUAUCAUCAAGAUGCCACUUGUAGAUCUAAUCUCCCCAACCUAUAAUUUCUAUGGGUAGUUUCUACGUAUGAUUUCACGCAAGCAGCACAAACAAAGCUCGGUCAGCUGUGGCAAGCAACCGCGUAGCCUUCAUGCUGCCACAGUCCGAGCCAUUGAAAUUAAAAUAAAUUCAUUCGCAGCUGCUAUAAGAUCGAUCAACCUGGAAAGAGCCGCCAAGAGACGAUGCAGGCCAAAAUGCAGGAGCGAGAUGAGCGCUGGUUCGAUCAGUGCCUGGACAAAGUGCCAAAGUGGCGCUAGAAGCAACGGACGGAGAACUAGCGCCUGGAGAAAGCAACAGCAGCAGCACCAACAACUCGUCUGGAACUUGAAGAGGGCUUCCUCGAUUUCUUUUGAUGUACGCCUUUCUUCUCCAAUCGAUCCUUAGAAGCGGCGCGUGGGGAAUUGCUGGCGGAGGCUUGGUGCGCGGCCGCGCACGGGGGUGGCCAGCGGCGUCAGGCGGACACAAGCGCCGGAAAUUGGCACGCGCGAGCGAGGGAGGGGAUGGCCCGCGGCGCGCGCGUGAGGGAGGGUCGCGACGCGGCAGUAGCAGGCGCGCACGGAGCCUGGGGGUGGGUCGCGGCGCACAGCGGAUCGGGAAGAUGCGCAAGAAAACGAGGAAGAAAACCGUAACGCUGGCCCAACGCGAUUUCGGCGGUAUCUACGCACUUGAUUCGCGAGCUGACUCGGUUUCUAACAUGAGAAAAACAACGAUAUCUCGCUCUUUCUUCGUUAAACCACCUGCCACGUCAUUAGCCCCCUUUGUCACGGCUCCUUGAGGAGCUUCUCCACCGGCUUCUCAAGGAGCCGUGUCAAACACUUUCUUCAAAACAGCUUCUCCGGCGAAGCUGCCUAAAAAUCUGUUGAGAGGAGCAAAACGAGCAGGCGGAGCUAGGAAAAUGAGCUCCCCGCGGCUCCCUCAUCCAUCCUGCACCAUUCGGUACCAUAAUACCCCUGGAGUUUGCCGAAUUUACACCCAUUUUACCACUGUCUUCUUUUCUCUCUCUCCCCUAUCGCCCAUUCGUGGAGGAACGACGGGCGGCGACUAGCAGCGGGAGGUUCAAGCACCAGGAGGUGUGGCAGAGGUGGCCGGCAGUGGUACGCGGAAGCGGUGGCGGUGGCGGCUGGCAGCUGUAGGCAGCGCGGGCCAGGGAGAAAGAGAGGAGGAAAAUAGAAAGGCAGCUGGCAGCACGCGUGGUGGCCAGAGAAGGAGGCUAGGGGGGUGGCCGGAGAAGGAAGCCAUGGGAGCGCGGCACGCCGGAGAAGGUGAUGACAGGCUGAUCUGGUGCAGGGAGGUGCAGGGUCGCGAUGCGGUAGUAGUAGGCAUGCACGGAGCCUGGGGGUGGGUCGCGGCGCACAGCGCAUCGGGAAGAUGGGCAAGAAAACGAGGAAGGAAACCAUAACACUGGCCCAACGCGAUACCGGCGGUAUCUAUGCACUUUGGUGCGCGAGCCGACUCAGUUUCUCACCUGAGAAAAGCGAUUUCUUACUCUUUCUUCUUCCCUGUUUGGUUCCUUUAGUGCAUAGACUGGACUAAACUUUAGUCCCACCCCUGUUUGGUUCCAUGGACUAAGGGAGUGUUUGGCUCCCAGGGGUCAAACUUUAGCCCCUGUCACAUCGGAUGUUUGGAUACUAAUUAGGAGUAUUAAACAUAGGCUAAUUACAAAACUAAUUGCACAGAUGGAGGCUAAUUCGCGAGACAAAUCUAUUAACCUUAAGUCCAUGAUUUGAUAAUGUGGUGCUACAGUAACCAUUUGCUAAUGAUGAGUUAAUUAGGCUUAAUAGAUUCAUCUCGCGAAUUAGCCCAGGGCUUCUCUAAUUAGUUUUAUAAUUAACUCAUGUUUAGUCCUCCUAAUUAGCAUCCGAAUAUUUGAUGUGACAAAGGCUAAAGUUUAGCCCCUAGUAUCCAAACAGCACCUAAAAUGGACUAAAGUUCAAAAAUACUGUUAAACAAAGACCCUUUUACUCUUCUUCCCUACCCUCUUGGUAUCCCUGCGUCUACUCCUCCUCACACGGGAACUCCAACUACCGCUGGUUGAAGCUUCUCCAUCUCCAGCGCCAGUGGAGCACCGCUCGAGCAUGCCCAACCUACCCCGCCACAUGCGAACUCCCGCGCGGUGCAGGCAAGAUCCUUUGUGUGCCGGCGAGCAGUGGAGCGAGCAGAGGAUUGGCCCGAAUGGGGGAGCCUCGAAUCAGCGACAAGAUGGAGGCUCAUCGAUUCGGCCACAAGGUGAGCUCAAGGGGGCGUCGCGUUGAUUUGGACGCUGGGGAGGCUCGAUGGGGUGGCAAUGUGUCGAUUUGACCGUCGGAGGACCCCGAGGGGGUGGCGGCAGUCCUUCUCAUCGCCUCUCCCCCAUGGCGGGCUAGCACCAUCGUACAUUGAAGCUCCGCCAGCCUAGCUGCAGGGCAAGCGAGCUUCGAUAGUGCGGCCACGGUACGGUCGAGCGCCACCGCGUAGGUGAGGGCAGCAGUGGGCCGGCGGCGAGGGGAGGGGAGCAGCGGUGGGUAGGCACGAGCGGAGGAGCAGCGGCCGGACGUGGGGAGAGCGGCGGCGUGGGGAGGUGAGCAGGAGGGAGGCGGGUGGUGAUGGCAGCGGGCGGCGACGACAACGAGUGGGAGGGAGGCCAGGUGGGAGGGAGGCGGCGGGCGGGAGGGAGCCGGGUGGGAAGGAGGGCAGUAAAUGAGGGGUAGGGGUGUCCCAACACCCUUUAGUCCAGUUUUGUGGAUUAGAGGACUAAAGCCUUUUGUUCAAACUUUAGUCCACUGUUUGGGUGUUUAGGGACUAAAAGUGCACCAAAACUUUAGUCUAUGAGAACCAAACACCCCCUGAAUCACCUCCCACAUCAUUAGAUUGCUGAGAUGGUAACACCCCCUGAAUCACCUUCCACAUCAUUAGAUUGCUAAGAUGGUACUGUAUUGAAUGAUAUAGAAAUUGGGUGACUUGAAGGUUGGGAAUGCCCUUAAUAUUUUCUCACUUGGAUCCCAAUUUCAUCUCGUGGGCUUGCUCUGUUAAGUUUCCUCUCGUGCGGUUGAAACAGCUUUGGUUGUGGCUUCUCUGAUGGAGCGGUUUUUUUAGCUCUAGUUUGCUUGAUUGGAAAAACGUUUGGCAAAACAGCUUCUCUUGAUUGUUUUAAAUGGAUAAAAAUGUGAAAUGUCCAUACUACACUUACCUUUUUUUUCUUUUCUAUUUCUUUUCUUUUUUUUCAUUUUCCUUCCUCUUUUAUUGCUUUUUCCUCCACGGUUCCAACCGUUUCUCUCUGCCUACCUUAUCCUUUCACUCCAUCCCAGCGCCAAUGCCCGCGCAUGCUGAUGCGCCUCCAUCCUCAGGCCCUACCGCGCCUAGGGGCAAACUGGAGACUUCGGCCUUGCGGAUGGGACGAAGCUGCGGGGAGCCAAUUUUUUUUGGCUUCUCCUCCACCCUUAGCUCCUCUCAGCGCGAAUUGGGGGCUCCAUCGGUGGAGCCGUUUCGUUCUUCCCCGUUUGGCAGCUAGGGCUGCUCAAGAAGCCCUGUCCAAGAGGACCUUAUUCGUAGGCAAAACAUGAACGAAGUCAAAAGGCCAAAAAUCAUAACAUCAUACCAUUAAACGCACCCCUGUUGCCCUUCUACCCCAAACAUUUGGAACGAGAUAGUUUCUUGGACGAAUCGGGCAGAUGAUUCUCUAGAACAGAUCAGGGAUGACUUGCCUUGCCUUGCCGGGCAGAUGAUUCUUGGAAGAAAAUUACCGUGCCUUGCCAGGCUCGUGCCGGACCCUACUGGACCGCUCGUUUGGACAUCUAUAGCCAAGUGUGAAUUUUAUGGUGGGCAAGCAAAAGGCCAAACACGAUAUCGAUGGAUUGAUGCAAGCUGAUUUGAAACCCCCUCGCUAAUUUGAAAGAAAUAAGACAUGCACGCUUACCUUCAACCGGAUCGGUCCUUGUCCUCGCUUGCUGAGCUUGCGCAGAUGCAGCUAGAAGAAGCAGCAGCAGCAGCAACGUCGGGAGCGCAGCAGAGCCAUGGCGGCACGAACUGCUGGGUCCAGGCCUCCUCAUCUCCUUCCCCUCUCUCUGGCCUCGAGGUCGGGGUUGGCUACCCCUUCCGAGGCCGAGCGGGAUAUAUGGUGACCUGAUGGAGACUCUUAUGGCGAUUAGCUUGUCUCAGGGCCCCGCCGCCGCGGCAGACACGUACAGCUCCCUCGACGCUGCGCCACCAUGCAAGGACGGCGCAAUUAGGGAAUUUUCUAUGGUCAAGUGGCGCCACUGCUAUGUCGAACGCGACGGGCCAACAACUACCUCCAGGCUCCCACAUGGAAGCAGAGCCGAAGGCGAUCGACGACGACGGCUGACCGUGUUGUUCUGUGCGAGGAGACUUGCAGCUUGGUGACGUGGCAGACGGUCGCCGCUGAUGUUCCAUGCCGACGCCGCCGUUUAGCACUUUCAUUAAAUAUUUUACAUAUAUUCAAUAAUGUGGUGAAAUUGUGUUUUCUAUGAAGGCUUGUGAACUUGAUAUUACAAAUAUUAUAUAAUUCCAUCAUAUGCGUUACACUAAAGAACCAGAAGCACAGGAAUCAAUGGGUGAUAUUGCUCCACCUCGAGUGCAGAGUGGGAGUGAACUUACAUGUUCCAAAAUAUAAACAAUAUAAACUCUUGUUACGCUGCUGGAGAGGAGGCAUCGCUGGAGUCGCACUUCGCCUUGUUGGACACGCAUCACCCCUCUACUCUGUAUGGGUCUCUUUUGCGCAACUCCUGCUGGCUCCAGCUCCAUUACUGUAGCACACUAUAGUUUAUUGUAGUGCGUGCCGGAUCUGGAGUUGGGGGAGCAAUUUUUUCUAGAUUCACCGGCUCCUCCUCCAUAACUGUAGUGCAAUGUAGCUAAUCGUAGCGCAUAUCAGAUAUGGAUUUUGGCUCCUCCUCCAUAACUGUAGUGCAAUGUAGCUAAUCGUAGCGCAUAUCAGAUAUGGAUUUUGACUCUUCACUGCAGUACAACAUAAUAGUGAUACAAGUAGCGUGACACAGGAGACAAGAGCUGUGAGGGAGCGGUGCCAAAGGGGUCAUACGGGUGUCUUCCUCUAUUUUCUUUGCGACGGGAAGAGGUAAACAUACGGGUGGGGCAUCAAGCUAAGUGCACGAGAUUGUGCUCAGAGAAAAUCUUGCUGCUUCUUUUUUUAAUCAUAGAUCGGGUUGGCAUCGUCCUGUCGUUCUGUCAUAAAUCAUAUAUAUAGAUCCGGAUAGACCAAACCCUCCAACAUCAUCAUUUGGUCCUGGGCUCAAAAAAUCAAACCAAAACUUGACCCGAAAAAGAAAAUCGAUCUAAGACGGGCGAAGCAACAAUCGAUCAGAGCACAUAACCUAACACAAAAUACGUGCAAAAGCUGAAUAUAUAUCCUCAGAACGUUUGUGACGUGCAUUUACAGAAAACUGUCCGUCAACUUGCAAAUCACCGGCCUUCUUCUCGGAGCUGUUAGAGGUUUAGGCAUUUUACGGCAUAUUUUAAUUCCGAAUAUUUUUAAGUAAAUUAUGGUCAUUGUGAGUGAUACAGACCGUGUGCAAGUGUUUUGUUUAAAACACGUUUGAACGUAAACAGAACCAAAAGAAAGAACCAGAUAAGGUUCAAUAUGUACCCAGGGGCGGGAUCAUUGCUGAAGGCAAUGGGUGCGCCGUUCCUAGAACUGGAUGCAUCAGACAUUGUGUCUAAAAUGUCGGUUCGAGCUGUUCGAUGUAGUUGAUCAAAGUUGAUGCAGUGUUGAGUUGGUGCAGAGCAGUCCCUUGAACGGCCUCCAGGAUGUAGCAUGACGCGCAGAAGAUGCGCUUCCCCAAAACUUGAUUGCCUGCCUACUCGUGCAAGUGUCGCAGCAGGAUGAAGUUUCGGAGACCUGCGCGUAGAGGCUCGCGAUGGGAAUGUCAAGAUAGCAGCGGGCAACAGCAAAAAAAAGGGGAGAGACGCGUGCGCGGCUCGACGAGGCGAGCAAGCGCACGCGCGGCACCCUUUCUCUCUUCCUCAACUUCUCAAUUAGUGCACACAUAGUCCAUCUAUUUUAGUUAGUUAAGAUACUCUUAACUAUCCAGCUAGAAUUAACCACUUUAUCCAUCUAGCAUUACACGUGGAUCCUGAGAUUAAAUGAAUUAAAUCGGCCUAACCUGAAUAUUCAACAGGAGCUAGCUAAUGAACGGCGAAGAGGUGUGCGACGAGGUGGCCCUUGGGGCCAAGCUCGACUGCCCGCUCAUAUUACUGCUCAUGAAGCUGCUGGUGUUGCCUCCCUUGAUCUGCCAUUCGGUGAUGUAGCUGGGCUUGUUCACCACCUCGCCCACCUCCACGUCGUCCCCGGCCAGCAUCGACACAGCCCGAGACAUGGACGGCCGCUGGUGGGGCGAGCCCUGGGUGCAGAGCAGGGCCACGUGGAUGGCACGGAGCACCUCGUUGCUGUUGAAGUCAGCAAUACAGUUGCCAAACCUGAAAGCACAGAAAAUUAUCUAGAAAUGCUAAGAUGCCAGGCUAGCGUGACAUGUGUUUAGGGACGUUUCAUUUACCAAAUAUAAUCUCGUAGUAAUAAUUUAUAGACGGGAUUAAAAUCAUUGGUGAGUUGUAUGGUAAUAAUAAGUAUAUCGGUGAAUGAGUAUUCUUUUUUAGUCAACGGGGGGAGUGCCCCACCUGAUUCAUUAUAGACCAGCACGCUAGCACGCUUCCAUUAUUGGUGAGUUGUAUGGCAAUAAUAAGUAUAAGCCCCCUGCUCUUUUGGCUAGCACGCUUGCUCCCACCCAACAAGACAUUGAGCUCCACUAACUGUAUCUUCCCCGGACCACAGGAAACGUCAUCGUCGGCAAUUGAGAGCGUCAAUGUUCCCUGGGGGCAGAAGGAGCACUGACAUAGCGUAGGUAAGCUGGCUGUCCAUGACGCUAUUGAUCAGCACUGCAUGGCCCAUUGGAUUCAGUAGGGAGGCGUGCCAGCCGCUGAGAUGCCUGUCCGCUCUAGUGAUCAGAGGGCUGAACACGGACAGACGUAGCUUCUCGUGGGACAGUGGCAGCCCCAGGUAGGUUUGGGGGAAGCUGCCAAGUUGGCACCCAAGAAUACUCUGAAGCGCCGUGGUAGUCGAGCUGGAAGUGUUCAUUGGCAUCAUGGUACUCUUGUUGAAAUUGAUGUGCAGCCCCGUGGCCUCGCAGAACAGAUCAAGCACCUGCUUCAGCGCCACCAGCCCGUCUUGAUCUGCCUUGAGGAGGAUGAGAGUGUCAUCGGCAUAUUGGAGCAUGGGGCACGGCUUCCCCGAGGCGGCAGGGUGUGAAAUCCUCUGGUCGAGCUUGAUCAUCUGCUGAAGGACGUCAGCGACCAGAAGGAAUAGGUAGGGGGAUAGUGGAUCCCCCUGCCGUAGGCCUCUUCCACAGGCGAACCACGGGCCAGGAACACCAUUGACAAAGACAACAAGCUUCAAGGUUUGCAACAUGCUCGUGAUCCAGUUGCACCAGAGGGGCGGGAAGCCUCGCGCAUCCAUGAUGGCGUUGAGACUGAGCCAAUCCACGGAGUCGAAGGCUUUGGCGAAAUCAAGCUUCAGAACCAGGGUGGGUAGCUUGCGGCAGUGGCAGCACUGGACGAGCUCCAUCGCGUAGAUGAAGUUCUCAGAGAUCGAGUGCCCCUUGAUGAAUCCUGUCUGGUCUGGAUCGAUGAGGCGGGGGAUCUAGUGUUGCAGCCACGUCGUCAGCAUCUUAGAGAUGAUCUUCAAGGAGCAAUUUUGCAGGCAGAUUGGGCGGUAGUCCCCCGGCGUUGUGGCGGCGGCAUGUUUGGAGAUCAUGACAAUGUAUGAGCGAUUCAGAUGCUCAAGCUCCGCAGUACCUGCCUGGAACGCCCAGGCCAGCUCCAUGACCGUCGGCACCACCGUGGACCAUGCCGCAGCGUAGAAAGCUGGCCCGAAGCCAUCCGGUCCAAGAGAGCUAGACCGGUUCAUCGAGCACACCGCGAUGCGCGCUUCUAGCUCCAUGAACGGCGCCAGCAGAGUCGCCUCGUCCACCCUUUCUGAUUCGGCGUAGAGGGCCGCGACGCCGAUGGAGUCCGAAGCUGCCGUGUUCACGCGCAGGAGCCCUUGGUGGUGAGAGGUCAGCGCGGCUGUCUUGUCCUGGUGCGAGGACACCACGACGCCGUCCACCUCUAGGGCCCGGAUGUUGUUGCAGUGCAGGCGCUGAGUGGCCUGCGCAUGGAAGAAGCGGGUGUUCGCGUCGCCUUCCUGGAUGGCGUGGUGUUUCCCGCGCUGCUUCCAGUAGGCCGCGCGUUCGCGCAGGACCAGCACAAGGUGGUCCUGGCAGUCGCGGCGUAAGAGAUGUUCACCUGCAGAAAGACAACGGCCUUCCUCAAGCACAUCAUGAAGAUAUAUCACAAACUUGCAAUUAGGGAGAAGGAUGGGAGGAACGCUCUUACGUCGCGCCCAAGCCUUGGACGCGCACCGAACUGCUUUGAGCGAGCCAACAAUGGCCGCAGCCACGCCGUGCGUCGAGCCUCUGAGCCAGGCCGGGAGCACCGCGGGUAGGAAGUCGCUGUGUUUGAGCCAGGCGUUCUCAAAGCGGAACAGGUUUGCUUUUGGGAUGGUGGUGAACAUGGGGAGCUGAAUUGGCGUGUGAUCAGAGGUUGGCUUGGGCAAAGAGUAGAGGGAGGAGUUGGGGAAGGAUAGGCUCAUAGGGACGUUGAAGAAGACACGGUCGAGGUGGGUGAGAGUGGGAGUGCUACGGUGAUUGGACCAAGUGAAGAGGUGGUCUAGAAGAGGGAGAUCGAUGAGACCAAGAUGAUCAAUGGUGAAAUUGAACGCUACACUGAGAGAGGCAUUGGCAGAGCCGUUGCUAUUUUCCUCGCCCCCACGGGUGAGGUUGAAGUCGCCAGCAAGCGCCCAACUCCCUGGAACGUGACCGGCGAUCUCCUCCAGAUUCUCCAGGAAGGGCAGAGAGUCGGGGUGAUCAGCCGGAGCAUAGACGUUGGUGACGGCGAAGGUGUAGUCAGAGGCUGUGGACGAGAGGAACGUCGUGAGGGUGUGCUGCCUGAUGAUACAGGAGGUGAGGGUGAACGCAGUGGAGUCCCAGGCAGUCACCAUGCCGCCGCGGGUUUCAUUGGAGUCGACACAGCGAAAAGCAUCGAGGUUGACGGGAAGGAAGGAACGAGCUCUCAGGCUGUCGAUGGCCCUGAGCUUCGUCUCCUGAAGGCACACAUUGUUAGAACGAGCAGAAGUUAGCGUGUCGCGAACAAUCGUGCACUUGUUCUUGUCCCCAAGCCCACGGACGUUCCAAGAGAGAAGAGAGAAGGAGACAGUGCUAGAGUUCAUUGGUCCAGGAACAACACCAAAUCGCCCCUGCGGAACACACCACAGGAGGGAGACAGAAGCGCGUGGUACAGGAGGGAUAUUAUCUUAAGAACGUGAGGACAUUAUUGCUGACAGCAACCUCAAACUGAGAGGCGCCUCCCAGGAAAAGAAACAAAGCGAAAGGCAAGAACAAACUUAAUUACAAAUAUACAAUCGAGCUAAUCAGAUAGAACACCUCGAAAAUUAUCUUUUUUUAUCGCAGGAGCGCUGAAUAGGACUUACCUUCAGUUGGAUCUGUCCUCGCAGCUGGUGCUUGCUGAGCUUUGGCCGACGCAGCUAGGAGAAGCAACGCGGAGAGCACGUAGCCACGGAGGGAAGAACUCCGUGCUAACCUCAUCUCCCUCCCUCGGUCUGCUGUCGCUUAGCUUGGAGCCUUGGACCUUGGGACGCUAGCCUUCUUUAAUAUUGAGGGAGAUUUCACAACGAUCCAGUCUUUUAGAAAUGGACAUGUUUACUUCAACUGGAACCUCUGCUGUCUAAGGAAAGGUGCACGAAACUUCAAGUUCUAUAGGAGAAACUCAUCAGCAUAUAUAAUAGUGAAAGAAAGUCAACCAAGGUGAUUGAGGGACAGAAGAUACUUGAAGCCAACAAGGGACAGAAGAGAAGUCGAUCAUAUUGCAAACAGAGAUAUAUGUCUCGUCCAGGGUCCCCAAAAAAGGCAACCACUGACAUUUGCAACAAAAUAACUUAUGUGGCGCAAUGUCAGAUUCAAAGUGACUAAUGAAGGGUUUAUGCAAUUUUACUUUUAAUCAUUCAUUGAUUCAAGACUUUCAUGUUCCAGAUUUCUCGGAAUGAAAUGUUUGUGAUGGAUAGCUUGUAGGAAUUCGAACCAAUUCAACAAAGUAAUCAUGGUGACGGGUGCCUAGACUAGAGGUACUCUCAAAGCAGCAGCACCUCAUGCACUUCUUCCAAUGGAGAGCUGCCGAUUAUAUUAAAAAUAAGAAAACAAAUAGCGCCGACUCAACGUGGAACCAACGUGUUCUCUCGUACACCCCGGAAUCAGGAGAAGCAUAUAUCUGGUUCACCCAAGGUUUCUCCGAUCCAGAGAAAAAGCAGAGAUGAGAUUGCGAUAGCAAAGGCUGCUGCUAUCAGAACGUACGUGCAGGGACGAACAUCUCGCGAGAAGCUUUUUCUAUCUCAGUAAAAGAAAAAUAAUUCGGGACGGACUGGACAUACCUUUCAGUUGGAUCUGUCCUUGUUGUUGGUGCUUGCUGAGCUUUGGCCGAUGCAGCUAGAAGCAACAGCACGGAGAGCACGGAGCCACGGAGGGAACUAGUCCAUUUUAACCUCAUUUCCCUCUUCGUAACUGCUCUCGCUUAGCUUGGCCGUGGCCCUUCCGAGGAAAGCAAUCUUGUUCCGUGUCCAAAAAUCUGCUGAUUCAUCAUCAUAGAAGGAAAUCAAAGCAAAUAAAGCAGCAGUCAAAGGCACACGACUGACUGGGGAUACGCGGUCGUUUGGCAACAUUAGUACUGAAGACGACUGCAUGACUGACUGACAUUUUCAAGCUUUGGAUUCAUCCACUCGAACCAUUCAAGACUGUCAUGGUCUAGAUAAUUAAGGCGAUUUCCCAGGAUGGGAUGUUUGCUAUGGACAGAAGCUGGAACAAUUCAACGAAGUAAUAAUAAAGGCCAACCACUUCCGAUACUGACACAUAUACAUCUCAGAGUUCUAACUUUCGCCGUGCGGCUGCUUUUGGUCUGAAGUGUCAACUACUAGUUCGCACAUGCAUAAUCAGUCCAGUUUACACCACGGGAAAUCAAUUUCAUGAAGAUGAAAAAACUACUAGGUACUUCUUCCGUUUCAAAAUGUUCGGUUUUUAAACUUUUUAGAUACAUAAAUUUUGCUAUGCACCUAAAUAAUUGAGGUAAAAAUGAUUGUUAAGUAGCAAUGGGUACUUCCACCACGUACUUUUUUAAAAAAAAUUACACUGUUGAUCCAAGUAAUGUAAUUAAAAAAUAAAUUAAAUUAGUACCGGUCCCACUGUUUUUGUACUUGGUCUCCACCUAUUUGGUACUUCUUGUUACUUUUCUCUAGAUACCUCUAGGUACUUUCUACCUUUCCACCGCACGAUUUUUCUGGAUGGACGGCUCUUAUUUUUUCCAAUUAUUGAAAAUAUUUUCAUCAACAAAACCAAAACGACCUACAUUUUGAAAUAAAGGGAGUAACUAAUAGUCUAAUACCUUAGCAUUGACAAGGGCUUGUUCAACGAGAGUGGAACGACAUAGACACAAUCUCCUUGCAUUUAUCGAAAAUUUAGCAUUUUUUCCCUUCUGUUCUGCUGAAGAAUUUGGCCUAAUCCUAUGAACCCAGGCAAGUGCCUACGGAGAGAAUUUGAUGCCAGGUCCGCCAUUGGAUCAAAGUAGGCACGGCAAUGGAAUAAUGGAUAAUAACCGUCAUAUGCAGUGAUAUAAGGCUUAUAAUCCACUAUGCAAAACUAACAAUCAGGGCACCAACUGUGAAGUGUGUAUCUACACACAACGUAUUCCGUGGAUAUGGCUGCUAGGGGGGCGAGCCUUGGGUGCGAAAGAGGGCCAUUUGGAUGGUGCACCUAACGAAUCUUACACACAUCCAAAUCUUCAAAGUGCAUCCACACCAAAUAAUAUAAUCCGUUGCUUGACAGAAGCUUAUUUGAAUCUGAUGAUCAUUGACCAUCAUCACCGGCCUUCCUCGAUGAGGGAGCUCAGGUACGACGAUGUCGAUGCCGACAUGCCGACCACCUCCCUCUUGCUCGAGCUCGCCUGCCACUCGGUGACGUAGCUGGGCUUCGUGACUGCCUCUGGCACUUCGAUGUCUUCUGUGAGCAUGGACACCACCUUUGACAUGGAUGGCCGCUGCCGAGGUGAGCUCUGGAUGCAGAGGAGGCCGACGCGGAUGGCACGGAGAAC